rnacentral:tRNA from 1 species
GGGGUUGUGGCUCAAUGGUAGAGCACUUGCCUAGCAUGGGUGAGCCAUUGAGUUUGAUCAUCAGCAUCACAUAAAGAUAAAUAAAUAAAGGUAUUGUGUCUACAACUAAAAAAUAUUUUAAACAACAACAACAACAAAAAAAAACCCAAAGACUUGGGCUGGGUUUGUGGCUCAGUGAUAGAAAGCUUGCCUAGCAUGUGUGAAGCACUGAGUUCAACCCCCAGCACCACA